AUUUUGGUCCCUUGUGUUAGGGAAAUAAAUUAUCCUUUUGUUACUUUUACCUACGCAGUUCCUUUUAUUUGUCCGACCAUGAGCCGGGUCGUGACAAAUGUGGGGGCUCGUCUCGUUGUCCGUGUGCGCUAGUAAGCCAGAGUUGUGAAUGAACUCACGGGAGUUUGUGAAUGGAACCGUUUUGGCGGCGUUACUAUUGAGUGGCGUGGGAACCCGGAAGUCGCGAGGGCUUGUGUGUGUGGUUUGUACGCCACGGUUUAGCUGUGAACUGCGAAGGUAAAUUUUGGGCCAUGGUUGUGUUGUUUCUCUGGGUCACUUGGCUUUUGUUGCUGCUUGAAGAUAAUUGUUUUGUCCGGGCAUCCUGAUCAGUUAGCCGCCGGGUGAGCAGAUCUCGCCACUUUAUUAUUUUGCCUUUUUUGUUUUUGUCGGUAACCCUGAGGAGGGAGUGCGCUGGCUUUGGGUUGUUGCAGCUGGCCAGUCUCGGUCAGAUGUAAUUUCCUGCGGUUGGUGUCACUUCGAGCUCGGCAAGCCGACGAAGACUAGUUACGCAGGAAGAGUUGGAGAGUGAGCAGCGAGCCGACGCGUCCCUGAAGGGACUGUUUGACAUGGUGUUGCCUGCGUCGGAGGGGAUCCCGUCCUCCAGAUG
ensembl:lncRNA